rnacentral:rRNA from 1 species
AUUGAACGCUGGCGGCAGGCUUAACACAUGCAAGUCGAGCGGAGAGAGGUAGCUUGCUACUGAUCUUAGCGGCGGACGGGUGAGUAAUGCUUGGGAAUCUGCCUAUUAGUGGGGGACAACAUUCCGAAAGGAAUGCUAAUACCGCAUACGUCCUACGGGAGAAAGCAGGGGAUCUUCGGACCUUGCGCUAAUAGAUGAGCCUAAGUCGGAUUAGCUAGUUGGUGGGGUAAAGGCCUACCAAGGCGACGAUCUGUAGCGGGUCUGAGAGGAUGAUCCGCCACACUGGGACUGAGACACGGCCCAGACGCCUACGGGAGGCAGCGGUGGGGAAUAUUGGACAAUGGGGGGAACCCUGAUCCAGCCAUGCCGCGUGUGUGAAGAAGGCCUUAUGGUUGUAAAGCACUUUAAGCGAGGAGGAGGCUACUGAGACUAAUACUCUUGGAUAGUGGACGUUACUCGCAGAAUAAGCACCGGCUAACUCUGUGCCAGCCGCCGCCGUAACAC